GCCUGGAUGGCGGAACUGGUAGACGCAAGGGACUUAAAAUCCCUCGGUUGAAAAGCUGUGCGGGUUCGAUUCCCGCUCCAGGCACCA
rnacentral:tRNA from 1 species